rnacentral:rRNA from 1 species
GAAUCGGUCAGGCUUACCAUGCAGUCGAGGGGUAACAUUGUAGCUUGCUACAGAUGACGACCGGCGCACGGGUGCGUAACGCGUAUAGAACCUACCUUUUACAGAGGAAUAGCCUUUAGAAAUGAAGAUUAAUGCCUCAUAGUAUUGAGUAAUCGCAUGAUUAUUUAAUUAAAGAUUUAUCGGUAAAAGAUGGCUAUGCGUCCUAUUAGUUAGUUGGUAAGGUAACGGCUUACCAAGACAUCGAUAGGUAGGGGUCCUGAGAGGGAGAUCCCCCACACUGGUACUGAGACACGGACCAGACUCCUACGGGAGGCAGCAGUGAGGAAUAUUGGACAAUGGAGGAGACUCUGAUCCAGCCAUGCCGCGUGUAGGAAGAAUGCCCUAUGGGUUGUAAACUACUUUUAUACAGGAAGAAACACUGGUAUGUAUACCAGCUUGACGGUACUGUAAGAAUAAGGACCGGCUAACUCCGUGCCAGCAGCCGCGGUAAC